GAACGCAUCUUGCGCUCCUUGGUAUUCUGAGGAGCAUGCCUGUUUGAGUGUCAUUAAUAUCUCAAUCCUCUCAAACUUGUUUUGUAGAGGCUUUGGAUUUUGGAGUGUUGCUGGCCUUUCAAAGUCGGCUCCUCUUAAAUGUAUUAGCUUGUAUAUUUUUGCAGAUAAGCUUUAGUUUGAUAAAUAUCUAUCUAAUUGCUUUGAAGCAAAUGUCAGCUUCCAAUUGUUGUUUUACAACACUUUCUUGACAUUUUUGACCUCAAAUCAGGUAGGACUACCCGCUGAACUUAAG
rnacentral:misc_RNA from 1 species